ensembl:lincRNA Snhg20 small nucleolar RNA host gene 20
AUUUGCAGAGCUGGUUCCGCCGGGGAGGAGAACUCGCGUGCUCCGUGCAGAGGGGAUGCAUCCUACACAGCGUGGCUCGGGGGCGCCGUGGAGCCUCCCGAAGGCGAUCGAAAUGAACCACAUCCCCCAGCGACUAGACGGAAGCACGCACAAGCUCCUUCCUCCCGAGGAGCGUUUCCAGUGACUUGAGCUUGGUUGGCCCAGGUAUGUCAAUCCUUGAGGGUGGGACGGUGACCUGAGGCCGACGGUCUGGGAAAAGGCUCCUGUGUGGCUGUACCCGCCCGAGGUGGGUGCAGCCCCGUACCAGACAGCCCGACCUUGACCUAAAGUAAAACCCCAGAGGAGGAGGAUCCUCUUCCCUGGGGUUAGAAUUUGCAGUAACAGGUGUGGACAUCCUAGCAGCAGUUUGGUGGUCAUGUAUGAUACUGCAAACAGGAGCCCUGCUGAAGCUGUGGGGAC